GCUCCAUAUACACAGAUGGACUGGUCUGGUGUGGUGAAAUCCAAAGCGCAGGGCGGCGGUGGGGGGCAGUGAUCCCUCUGCUUUCGGUUGUUAGAGCUCUGAUAAAUCUUUUUCUCCUGGGUCCCCCCCCACGCGCCCCCUUCCUCAUUUAUCGUUUUCGUAUGUAAUCUCACAAGGUGGGAAAGGAGGGUGGGGAAAUGAACUGACCUGAGUCCAUGCAGACCUCCAUGACUGGUGAUGAAUACUUUUUCUUCAGAAUGGGUGGUGGAGAAAAACAGGUCGGCACUAGCUGAGAGAGAGAGAGUGUGUGUGUUUCUCCCCCUAUCUGCAGAAUGUGAUUGUAGCAGUUUGAAUAAUUUCUUUCUUAAGAGACAUUGAUACUGGUUCUAAGAGAACCAAGAACAGACUGACUGCACAGCACAAUGAAGAGUGAAUGAAUAUCCUCUGCAAAUGUUCCCAUCCAAUGUUCAGCCAACCCAGACAGAUUUGUACUAAUACAGACGUACUCUGCAUAAAUGCUGUACAUUAACUAUUGCACUGCUCUAUUAAGGUGAGAAGUUGGACCUACCAGUGGGUCACAAAUAGAGAUAACAACUUUUUUCAGAUGUUUGAAACAAAAAUGUAUAGUGAUAUGUAGAAAACAACACAUAUUUGCAAUACUUUUCAUGAGCACUACUAAAGUAGAAUAAAAUUUUAUUGUUUCAGCCACUCACUUUAACAAUACAACAAUAAAAAAUAGAAUUUGGUGAUAUCAAA